rnacentral:rRNA from 1 species
UACAGAGGGGGCAAGCGUUAUUCGGAAUUAUUGGGCGUAAAGGGCGCGUAGGCGGCCUGGCAAGUGGAAGGUGAAAUCCCUCGGCUUAACCGAGGAACUGCCCUCCAAACUGCUUGGCUUGAGUCCGGGAGAGGUGAGUGGAAUUCCCAGUGUAGCGGUGAAAUGCGUAGAUAUUGGGAGGAACACCAGUGGCGAAGGCGGCUCACUGGACCGGAACUGACGUUGAGGCGCGAAAGCGUGGGGAGCAAACAGG